rnacentral:rRNA from 1 species
UACAGAGGUCUCAAGCGUUGUUCGGAUUCAUUGGGCGUAAAGGGUGCGUAGGUGGCAUGGUAAGUUGAAGGUGAAAUCUCGGGGCUCAACCUCGAAACUGCCUUCAAUACUGCUGUGCUUGAGGACUGUAGAGGAGAAUGGUAUUCACGGUGUAGCAGUGAAAUGCGUAGAUAUCGGGAGGAAGACCAGUGGCGAAGGCGAUUCUCGGGGCAGUUCCUGACACUGAGGCACGAAGGCUAGGGGAGCAAACGGG